ACUGGAGGUGGUGGCGGAGAGGCAGGUGGCAGGGGCGAGCCCGGCGGAGCGGAGGUCCGGGCCUCUGGAGCCCCGCGUCGGGGCGAGACGGUCAUCCCGGAAGGUUGAGCCCAGUUUUCAUCCAUCUGGAAGCUGUCACGAUGACCCUGACAAAAGGUUCCUUCACCUACUCCAGUGGGGAGGAGUAUCGUGGCGAGUGGAAGGAGGGUGAGAGGACCCAGGGUGGGGGGUUGUCCAGUGAUGAACCCACUUCAUUGGGUUGAAGGGCAGAUACAUCAGGAUAUAUAAGCCAGUUUUGUAAGUCUCCCUUUCUGGCUGUGAGAUUGAAUCCAAAUAGUGCCUUUCCUUUGUUUGAUUUUCGGAUUAUAAAUAAAGAGAUUAGAAAAUGCUAUUGCUACUCCAACCUCCAGAAAUAAGUUAAAUCUUCGUACUUCUAAAUUUAAAGUGUUUUAACACUCUGUUUUCCUUUGGUGGUAUUAUUUGGGAGUCGUUUUUAUAAAUGCUAAUGUACUCAGCAGAGCAAAAUGAAUUAUUUUUAGUGCCCAUAAAUUAGAAAGUGCAGAUUCAUUGCAAUGACUUGAUUCCAGUGAAUCUUAAAAAGUUACGGAAGAAAUUAGGGCAGACACUCAAGAGCAGAUGAUAUUCAUUGCCUUGAAUUUCCUGGGACAGCUCUUUACAUUUGGAAGUAUCUAUUCAUAGGAAUGGCAAAAUUCCUCAGGGCCUGAGACUGUACAGGAAGGAUUUUAAUGAUGUUCCAUUUGGGAACAGCCUGGCCACUUAAAAGUCUCAUGGGUCCAAUCCUAGCAACCCAGGAACUGCCCCGAAGGAGACUUGCCUCUCUAUAGCUGUGCCAAUGAUGUGCAGUUCACACUGUUUCCAGACGCCUCACUCUUUUCAUUCAGCUGGUGAAUUCUUGAGCCUUGAGAGAAAUUAUGCACAUUUCCAGUCUUUUCUCCCACCUCCCUACCACCUGCUGUCUUAUUUUAUUUUAUUUCAUUUUACUUUAUUUUAUUGUACUUUUGUCUUUUUAGGGCGGCACGCAUGGCAUAUGGAGGUUCCCAGGCAGGGGUCUAAUUGGAGCUGUAGCCGCUGGCCUACACCAGAGCCAUAGCAACGCAGGAUCCAAGCCGCAUCUUCGACCUACACCACAGCUCAUGGCAACACUGGAUCCUUAACCCACUGAGCAAGGCCAGGGAUUAAACCUGCAACCUCAUGGUUCCUAGUCGGAUUCGUUAACCACUGAGCCACGAUGGGAACUCCUAGCUAUUGUGAUUUUUAAGUGCUCUCUUAUCUUUCAUUCUUGGAGAGUCCUGCUCCAAACUGAUGGUUGUGACUUAAGGGAAGAUCCUAGGAGCCAGCUUAUUACUCUGGGCAACAGUUCCCUGCUCUGCUAAUGUCACUGUUUCUCUUCUUUCCUUUGUCGGUGGGGUGACAUAAGGCAAGGGAUGUUAGACCAUGAGAGGGGACCCUGAAGCUGCCCCAUCCCAAGCUGACACCUGUCUUCUCUUUGCUCAGGCCGCAGACAUGGUUUUGGUCAACUGAUGUUUGCUGAUGGUGGCACCUACCUGGGCCAUUUUGAAAAUGGGCUCUUUAAUGGUUUUGGGGUACUGACCUUCUCAGACGGCUCGAGGUAUGAGGGCGAGUUUGCCCAGGGCAAGUUCAACGGUGUCGGAGUCUUCAUUCGACACGACAACAUGACCUUCGAAGGGGAAUUUAAAAACGGCCGCGUGGACGGUUUGGGCCUGCUGACUUUCCCCGACGGUUCUCAUGGAAUACCCCGAAACGAAGGUCUGUUUGAGAAUAACAAGCUCUUGCGGCGUGAAAAGUGCCCCGCAGUGGUUCAGCGGGCCCAGAGCGCCUCCAAGUCAGCCAGGAGCCUCGCGGCCUGAGGGCGCCACGCCCAGCUGACCAGGAACCAGGAGGGCCCUGCCACCCGCUCGAGGUGAACCAACAGACCGAUGUGAAAGGAGAUUUGAAUGACCUGGGAGCGGAAGCCCUGGGAGUGGCCCCAUCACCUGCCAGGCAGGGCUUCGAUCUCAGGCGGGAGGCCCCUGCAGCUGCAGUUACCUGCUCUGUCCUUCCCCUCUCUUGCUCGUUGGGUCUCUCCAUCCCUAACACUCUGGUCCCCCAGCACAGACCAGCUGCUGCCUUCCUCCCACUUCCUUUUCUGCCGAGUGAUGCAGAAUCUCUCCCUUCUGCUUCUCAUUGGGGCAGAUGAUCCCAGCCCCAGAUCAGGGCCAGGGCUUUGUGCCGCCCUGGAAAGAAAGAAGGGAAACGACAGGGGCAGCUUAGACAUACAUCACUGUGGUCCUGUGAAAGUCAAGGCCACAGCUUUUCUGUCUCUUACUCCCUGGUUCGCUUCUGGUGGCCGUGGUGGCCCCAGGCUUCUCCCUUGUCUGACCAGACCAGUACUCGUGUCCGCCUCCUGCUCCUGUGGGUUCCGUGAAGUGCUCCUUCCCUCACCCUUGACUUUACCCGCUGUCUUCCUUACCUGAGUUCCAGCAGAUCAUUUGGGCCCCUUUUUCCUUCCUUAGACCUGGGACAGGAUCCCUCUAGUCAAAAAGAAACGGAUGUAAACAGUCACUGUAUGAGUUUGUCACUUACUUCGGGGCAAAGAGCAGACAUCUCUGGACAGCGUCAGGCCCUAUCACAGAGUGACCUGAAUCCUUAGGAGUGGCUUGGGCCGACAUGGAUCCUUCCCACUGGACCAGUAGGUCAGGCCCACCUCAACCCCUUGGCGUUCAGGUAGAAUUGGACCCAUGCUGGACGGCAGUGAACUAAAGAGCGUUGGGUUCACUGGAACUCUCCCACCGUGAGCCUUGGCCAUCGGGCCUCAGGAUCAGAUCUUGACCAAUAGGAUCCCUGCACAGUUCAUCACAGGGGCCUCCCAUGACCCUGUGACCCAAACACACCCCCACCCCCACCCCCAGCCCCUGAUCCUCACGCUCAGUGUCCCCUCCACAUAGAUUGUGGUGGAAAUUAUAGCUGUGUGCCUCUGUUUAUUCUCUGACUUGUACUGUAGAAACAAGUGUUUAUGAGGAAUAAACAAAUCACC
rnacentral:lncRNA from 1 species